rnacentral:lncRNA from 1 species
AUGGUGUGGUGGAUUCUAGCGGUCUCACUUCUGAAAUUACCAAAGUACAGGUCUGGCAGAACCUGGAACGACAACCAAACCAAGAUAACACCAAUCUACAAACUGACACUCUCUCAAUCAGUUCACAGCUCAGAAGAGAUUUUUCUUUUAUUCUUUUACAUUUUGCAACCCCCUUUGACAUUAUAUUUACUUGAAAUUUGAAUAUCUUGAUGGAUUUGUUUCAUGCAAACACUCAUCUUUUGUCUUCUCCAGAUGUUCACUGAAUAGACUGGAGUGCUGUGGAUUAUUGUGAUGUUUAGAUCAGCUGUUCUCCAAAUCUAAACGCAUCUACAAUGCUAAGGUGUUUAAUGUGGUCAUGUUGCAAUGUGAUUACUAGGCUAUUGCUGUCAUAUAUAAAUAUACGUAGAUGCCUCAUUAGCGACUGUCUAAGCAUAGACAGUAAAAGAAAUGGACACAGCGACCCCAAUGGAACUCAAUUGAGACAAGUGAAGCCCAUUUUUUGCGUUUUUUAGCACUUCCGUUUCUGACGCGCAGACUCAAACGAAGCUUGACGACGUCAGCAACCUGUCUGACAGAUGUAAAUCUUCUAGUAGCUGUGCGUGCAAACUGCCAUCGUUAAUCUUGCAGAGACGGCGAGCUUGAGCGGGGAGUUCUUUGUCGUGAGUGAGCAGGAGUAAGUAUUCUGAUUAAUUAUUGUGUAUAGUAUUUUAAAUUGUAACGCCGGUACGCCAUAUUAAGUUAAUUGCCUGCGAGCUUCUCCUCCUGUCUGUACGGUAAUGCGACAGAUAGUCGAGUGGUUAUGACACAAUCGUUAGCCUAUUUUUUACAAAGACUGUUUAUACGGGGCCAUAAUGUAACAUAGAAGGUAAUGGAGCCCUUUAUACAUUGUCGUGUAUCUUUAGAAAUAAAUAAUGGACAAACGGAGUCUUUAAACGCCUCAGAUGUAAAGUUAUUCGCUGUCAAAGUGACGCCAAAAUGAAUGGGAGUCAAUGGGAUGCUAACGCAAGUGAAGUUCUGCUACAAGAUGGCAGCACGCAGCCGACUUCAACUUCCGGUCGAUUUCCUUGCCGCCUGUGUGUAAGUCGUCCGCCAUAUUGUAACGGUCUUUUUUUUUUUUUUUUUUUUUUUUUAAAAUAGUACAAUAUGUCAUAUAAACUUGAACUUAAAUUUACAUCAAGAACUCGUUUGAGGAAAAAAAUAAAGAUGUGCUCGCAUUUAAAACAGUACAAACUCACAUCAUAUCAAGUAAGAAAAAUAAAAAAUACAAAUACAAAUAAAAAUAAAAUAAAAUAAAAAAUAAUUACAGGGGCUGACAAAACAACAUAAAUGCUUCAAGCGUGUUUAAGAACAUAGGACUGUAAACUCAAAGAUCAAGAGACUCUGACAUUGUUUCAUAUAACUCGUUUAUGGACUGGUUUUCUUCCGAUAACACCUUUAGAGAUGCUAUAUCAUUUUUAA